AUACGGAGGGAGCGAGCGUUAAUGGGAAUUACUGGGCGUAAAGCGUACGUAGGCGGUUGGUUAAGUUAGAUGGGAAAGCCCCGGGCUUAACCUGGGAACUGCAUUUAAAACUGGCGAACUAGAGUUGAGUAGAGGGGAGUGGAAUUUCAGGUGUAGCGGUGAAAUGCGUAGAGAUCUGAAGGAACACCAGUGGCGAAGGCGACUCCCUGGACUCGAACUGACGCUGAGGUACGAAAGCGUGGGUAGCAAACGGGAUUAGAUACCCUAGUAGUCC
rnacentral:rRNA from 1 species